UACAGACGGUCCCAAGCGUUGUUCGGAUUCAUUGGGCGUAAAGGGUGCGUAGGCGGCGCGGUAAGUCGGGUGUGAAAUCUCGGAGCUUAACUCCGAAACUGCAUUCGAUACUGCCGUGCUUGAGGACUGGAGAGGAGACUGGAAUUUACGGUGUAGCGGUGAAAUGCGUAGAUAUCGUAAGGAAGACCAGUGGCGAAGGCGGGUCUCUGGACAGUUCCUGACGCUGAGGCACGAAGGUCAGGGGAGCAAACGGG
rnacentral:rRNA from 1 species